GACGAACGCUGGCGGCGUGCCUAAUACAUGCAAGUCGAGCGAAGUUUUUCUGGUGCUUGCACUAGAAAAACUUAGCGGCGAACGGGUGAGUAACACGUAAAGAACCUGCCUCAUAGACUGGGACAACUAUUGGAAACGAUAGCUAAUACCGGAUAACAGUAUUUCUCGCAUGAGAGAUAUUUAAAAGUUUUUUAUGCUAACACUAUGAGAUGGCUUUGCGGUUCAUUAGCUAGUUGGUGGGGUAAAGGCCCACCAAGGCGACGAUGCAUAUCCGACCUGAGAGGGUGAUCGGCCACACUGGGACUGAGACACGGCCCAGACUCCUACGGGAGGCAGCGGUAGGGAAUCUUCCGAAAUGGGCGAAAGCCUGACGGAGCAACGCCGCGUGAGUGAAGAAGGAUUUCGGUUCGUAAAACUCUGUUGUUAGGGAAGAAUGGAUAUGUAGUAACUAUACAUGUAAGAGACGGUACCUAACCAGAAAGCUACGGCUAACUACGUG
rnacentral:rRNA from 1 species